rnacentral:tRNA from 1 species
AAUGAAUUGCCUGAAAAAAGGAUCACCUUGAUAGGGUAAAUCAUGUAAUAAUAUUACAUUCAUUA